rfam:Ipomoea nil DNA, scaffold: scaffold2753, cultivar: Tokyo-kokei standard.
UUCGUUGUCGUCCACCGCUUAGGAUAUUUAGCUUUCACACAGGAGACCCGGGUUAAAUUCCCGGCAACGGAA